AUACGUAGGGGGCAAGCGUUGUCCGGAAUUAUUGGGCGUAAAGCGCGCGCAGGCGGCCUUUUAAGUCUGGGGUAUAAUCCGGGGGCUCAACCCCGGUUCGCCUUGGAAACUGGGAGGCUUGAGUGCAGGAGAGGGAAGUGGAAUUCCACGUGUAGCGGUGAUAUGCGUAGAGAUGUGGAGGAACACCAGUGGCGAAGGCGACUUCCUGGCCUGUAACUGACGCUGAGGCGCGAAAGCGUGGGGAGCGAACAGGAUUAGAUACCCUGGUAGUCCACGCCGUAAACGAUGAGUGCUAGGUGUUGGGGGUUUCGAUACCCUCGGUGCCGAAGUCAACACAGUAAGCACUCCGCCUGGGGAGUACGUUCGCAAGAAUGAA
rnacentral:rRNA from 1 species